rfam:Arabidopsis thaliana chromosome 1, complete sequence.
AAUUUGUGGUGAGGGCACUGAGUGGUAUAUCCUUUGAAACGUUCCCAUGCGGCAGAAAAUGAUUCAGAAGU